rnacentral:lncRNA from 10 species
GUUAAUGUGCUCAAGAAUUUCCUGAUUAAAUGUGAACAGAGAGCACCAGCACCCACCCAGAGGACUCCUCGCAUUAGAGCCGCCCCAUCCUCAGCAUCAUCCAUCAUCCCACCCUCACAGAGCUCAUCUCAGAGACCAGGGGCAGUGGCAAGAUCCCGGGCAGAGGUCCUGAGCCCCAAUGAGCUUGGUGUGUUCCAGCACAGAGGGAAGACUCCUGUGCAGAAAGGGAGUGAGGAAGGGGAGAGUGGGAAGAGAAAAGAGAAGAGACACAGAAACUGGAAUAGGAUGAAGGCCAUGUGAAGACAAAGGCAGAGAUUGGAGUGAUGGAUCCACUAGCCAAGGAACCCCAAGGAUGGCCGCCCACCACCAGAACCUGGAGAGGCAGGAAGGAUCCUCCCCAGAGCUUCAGAGGGACCAGGGCACUGCUGACAUCUUGACUUUAGACUUCUGGCCUCCAGAACUGUGAGAGAAUCCAUUUCUGGUGUUUAAAGCUACCCAGUUUGUGGUGCUUUGUUUUUGGAAACCAAUACAGUGUCAAACAAUGAAAUAUAAGCUCAUAUCCAUGCAGGCAUCCCUUCCCUUAUUGAAAGGGCAGCUCUCAGACCCUUGUGCUCCCCUUUCUACCUGCCUGGGACAUGUACAAACAGCAGCAAGUGUGGGGGCCACCAAAGCCAACAGCCCAAACACAGCAGGGCAGAAACACAGGACACAGCCUCCAAAAUGUUUACCCUGCAUAAGAGCCAAACAGUACGAUCUCCAAAUUUACACAGCCUGACAUUUCUGUCAGACAUCAAGGUAACAAGUUAGAGUUGCUGGCAUCUCUUCCCAAAGAAAUGAAAGAGGACAUCACUUGAAAUCAAUAAGAAUAAACCAGGAUGCUUGUUAUUAUUUUAAAGAAAGCCAUGCCGUAAAAUCACAAUAGACCAAUUAAAGUCACUAUCAGGAAACAGAAGAAUAAUCAGCACAGAGAAAAUAAAAUCCAGAUUACAGUGAAGUGGAUGAUUCUGGGGGAAAAAAAAAGAACCAAGGCUGGGCACAGAGAAGGUUCAGAGAGUCUGUGAUAAAAUUUGCAAUCAGAGUCUGCACCAACACAGUGUCUCAUAAAACUUUUAAACCAAGUGAAAAGACUGAAUAUUCAGCAAUCACCAAGCAGGAAAGACAUGUUACAGUGACAGUAGGGAGAUUAUGCUGGAUUAUCUGUAUGAAUCCUAUAUCCUUGAAAGUGGAUGAGGAAAUCAGAAGAGAGCCAUCAGAGAGCAACACGAGAACUCAUCCAACACCAUCGGCCUUGAGGCUGGAGGAAGGGAGAUGAGCAAGUGCGUCCAGAAGCUGCAAACGGUGAGGCUCCCACUCUCCCCUGCAGCCUCCAGGGAGGGAUGCGCGUUGAUUUGAGCCCAGUGAGAUGUGUGCUGGAUUUCUACUCUACAGAACUGUAAGCUAGUCACUUUGUGUUGUUCCAAGCCACUACGUCUGUGGUAGGGUUAGGGUUAGAGUUGGGGUUUGGGUUAUCACAGCAGCCACAGAAAAGAGGGGUCACCAAAAGAGAGGCUGCCUGCGAUGGGAAAGCCAUGGACCCAGGACCCUGCAUUACUGGAGCCAGGUCUCUCUGUUCUAGGGGCCCGGAGACUCAGAGAGGUGGUAGUAUUAGCUCUGCUUUAUCAAUUAAGAAACUGAAGGGCAGAGAGGUCAAAAAAACCUGCCUCAAGCUACACAGCAUUCUGCGGCAGUUCUGGGAUUCGAGCCCAGGCAGCCUGACUGUGGGGCUGUAUUCUCAUCCACUCCCUAACACUGCCUGUUGCACGAUAUGCUGGGUGUUGUGUAACUUAUAUAGCAAAAUACUAGAAACAAUCUUAUUGUCUAACACUAGGAUUAAGUAUUAAUAAAUCAUCAUAAGGCAUCAACUCAUUGGGUUUUAUGAAGGCUUUCAAAUAAAUAUGAGCACCACGGGAAAAUAUUGACAACGUGAAAUGAAAACAGCAGAAUGCAGAAUCAUGCUUACCUUACGAUUACAUGAUGACAAUAUGGCAAGGCCUGAAGCAGGAUCAUGAGGAAACAGAGACCUCUAUGAGGGUGGUAGGAGCAAGCAGCCUGCGUGUCCUGUGAUCCCCUGCAAAUGAAGGUGGCACCAUAGUUAGCAGCAUGGGAUGCUCAGAGAACAGAGGGAAUGUGUUGCCGGACAGACGGACUGGCUCCACCAGAUACCACCUAUGUUCUGUAACUUCUCAGAGCCACUGUGUGUCAUGUACAACGGGAGUCAUAACACCACCAGGUUCAUAGAGCUGUGGUAAGCGUCAAAUGAGACCAUGUUUGCAAAGAUGUGGUGGUUCUAUAAACCUCAGCUCCCCCCGUGUCUCCCUGGCUUUUAAGGUUUUUUGUUGUCGUUGUAAACAUUAUAACAUUUUUAAAAACUAGUCCUCCAAGGUUUAUUUUGGAGGAUUUCUGAGACUAACUCAGGGGGAAGCAGUGAUGAAGAGGCCUCAACGGUCAUGAUGCCCAUGGACCCGUCUUCAGUUGUGUUGAGAAGGAGAGGCUGCAGGUGUUUAAAACGCACAGUGCUGAUGCAUUUGACACAGUGCGCUCCUGAGGCCAUCGCCAUGGUCUCAAUAACAAAUGCCCGGGUGCGGGGAGCGGGGAGGGAUAGCAUUGGGAGA